GUGCACAUGAUGAAAAUGAUUAUCAGCAUCUGAUUAAAAACGUUGAUGCUUUCAAAGGAACCACUGAUGCAC
rnacentral:snoRNA from 1 species